CCUACGGGGGGCUGCAGUGGGGAAUAUUGGACAAUGGGGGCAACCCUGAUCCAGCCAUGCCGCGUGUGUGAAGAAGGCCCUCGGGUUGUAAAGCACUUUCAGUGAGGAAGAACGCCUGGUGGUUAAUACCCAUCAGGAAAGACAUCACUCACAGAAGAAGCACCGGCUAACUCCGUGCCAGCAGCCGCGGUAAUACGGAGGGUGCGAGCGUUAAUCGGAAUUACUGGGCGUAAAGCGCGCGUAGGUGGCUUGAUAAGCCGGUUGUGAAAGCCCCGGGCUCAACCUGGAACGGCAUCCGGAACUGUCAAGCUAGAGUGCAGGAGAGGAAGGUAGAAUUCCCGGUGUAGCGGUGAAAUGCGUAGAGAUCGGGAGGAAUACCAGUGGCGAAGGCGGCCUUCUGGACUGACACUGACACUGAGGUGCGAAAGCGUGGGUAGCAAACAGGAUUAGAUACCCGUGUAGUC
rnacentral:rRNA from 1 species